AACAGACCGUCCACAGACUGUUUGUGUGGGAACUCAGAGGGUUGAGACACGGUCUGUGGGAACACAGACAGUGGAAUGUAAAGUGUCCGCCAUUUCUGUUGCUACACAGUUGGCCCGGGGAACACUGAAAUCGGCCCACGUGAGAAGCAAAGGCAUCCAGGCCACGGUGUCUUUCAAAAGUGUUGGCACUAAAACUUCCACCUACACAGAAAUCCCCUUGUCCUCUACACCAAUAAAGGGCCCAGGAUUGGGACCUAGCAAGAGACCUCGACUAGAGUUGGAGCAGGAACAAGGAGAGACUUCGAUUGAAUUUGAAGAGACUCUGGAUUCGAGUUACCACCCUGAUGAUACUGUAGAAGAAUCUGACGUAUCACUUCAGACACGAUCCACGCACAGUGAGGCAAAGUACAUUGUGUUUGAAAGCUGCCUCGGACAGCUGUUUGAAAAAUGUCCGUUUUGUAAGACAGACUGUGAUGUCCAUUUAUCAAAAUUUAUCAAAAUAAAGUUUGAUGGAACUA